ACUCAAAGGAAUUGACGGGGGCCCGCACAAGCAGUGGAGUAUGUGGUUUAAUUCGACGCAACGCGAAGAACCUUACCAGGUCUUGACAUCCUAGGAAGACUGCAGAGACGCAGUUGUGCCCUUCGGGGAGCCUAGAGACAGGUGGUGCAUGGUUGUCGUCAGCUCGUGUCGUGAGAUGUUGGGUUAAGUCCCGCAACGAGCGCAACCCUUGCCAUUAGUUGCUACGCAAGAGCACUCUAAUGGGACCGCUACCGACAAGGUGGAGGAAGGCGGGGAUGAUGUCAAAUCAUCAUGCCCCUUAUGACCUGGGCUACACACGUACUACAAUGGCCGUCAACAACGGGAAGCGAAGGAGCGAUCCGGAGCAAAUCCCCAAAAGCGGUCUCAGUUCAGAUCGCAGGCUGCAACCCGCCUGCGUGAAGUCGGAAUUGCUAGUAAUCGCGGAUCAGCAUGCCGCGGUGAAUACGUUCCCGGGCCUUGUACACACCGCCCGU
rnacentral:rRNA from 1 species